rnacentral:rRNA from 1 species
UUGUUUAUUCUACGUGAUUAGUGGAGUUAUGGUAAAGGUAUACUUUAUUCCUAAGGACAAGUGUAAGAUCGAUUUUAUCGAAUAAAGUUCUAGAUAGGAGACUGAUUAUGACAAUUUUCUAUCUAUAUGUCUUGACCAAAAUACGUGCCAGCAGUCGCGGCAAUACGUAGAAGACUAGUGUUAUUCAUCUUUAAUAGGUUUAAAGGGUACGUAGACGGUAUAAUUAGUCUUAAAUAGGAAACGGUUAUACUAGAGUUAUAUAUGAGGAGGUGAGUAUUUAUGGAGUAGAGUUGAAAUUCAGUCAUCCCAUAACGACUGGUAACGGCGAAAGCAACCUUUUAUCUAAUAACUGACGUUGAGGGACGAAGGCUCGGGUAACGAACAGGAUUAGAUACCCUAGUAGUCCAAGCAGAGAAUUAUGAAUGCCAUAGAUUAGAUAUUUAUUUAGUCUAUAAAUGAAAGUGUAAGCAUUUCACCUCAAGAGUAAUGUGGCAACGCAGGAACUGAAAUCAUUAGACCGUUUCUGAAACCAGUAGUGAAGUAUGUUAUUUAAUUCGUCAACACGCGAAAAACCUUACCACAAUUUGAAUAUUAUCUUAAAAAAACAUUAAUAUUAAUGUAUAAGAUAUUACAAGCGUUGCACGGCUGUCGGCAGUU